GAUGAACGCUGGCGGCGUGCCUAAUACAUGCAAGUCGAGCGAACAGACGAGGAGCUUGCUCCUCUGACGUUAGCGGCGGACGGGUGAGUAACACGUGGAUAACCUACCUAUAAGACUGGGAUAACUUCGGGAAACCGGAGCUAAUACCGGAUAAUAUAUUGAACCGCAUGGUUCAAUAGUGAAAGACGGUUUUGCUGUCACUUAUAGAUGGAUCCGCGCCGCAUUAGCUAGUUGGUAAGGUAACGGCUUACCAAGGCAACGAUGCGUAGCCGACCUGAGAGGGUGAUCGGCCACACUGGAACUGAGACACGGUCCAGACGCCUACGGGAGGCAGCAGUAGGGAAUCUUCCGCAAUGGGCGAAAGCCUGACGGAGCAACGCCGCGUGAGUGAUGAAGGUCUUCGGAUCGUAAAACUCUGUUAUUAGGGAGAACAAAUGUGUAAGUAACUAUGCACGUCUUGACGGUACCUAAUCAGAAAGCCACGGCUAACUACGUG
rnacentral:rRNA from 1 species